rnacentral:tRNA from 1 species
UGCCCGGUCGUUCAAUGAGCAGGACGCGUGGCUCUGAACCACGAGAUCGGGGUUCGAAUCCUCGCCGGGUGACCA